rnacentral:rRNA from 1 species
AUUGAACGCUGGCGGCAGGCUUAACACAUGCAAGUCGAGCGGGGAAAGGUAGCUUGCUACCUGACCUAGCGGCGGACGGGUGAGUAAUGCUUAGGAAUCUGCCUAUUAGUGGGGGACAACGUUCCGAAAGGAACGCUAAUACCGCAUACGUCCUACGGGGGAAAGCAGGGGAUCUUCGGACCUUGCGCUAAUAGAUGAGCCUAAGUCGGAUUAGCUAGUUGGUGGGGUAAAGGCCUACCAAGGCGACGAUCUGUAGCGGGUCUGAGAGGAUGAUACGCCACCAUGGGACUGAGACACGGCCCAGACUCCUACGGGAGGCAGCAGUGGGGAAUAUUGGACAAUGGGCGCAAGCCUGAUCCAGCCAUGCCGCGUGUGUGAAGAAGGCCUUUUGGUUGUAAAGCACUUUAAGCGAGGAGGAGGCUCCUUUAGUUAAUACCUAAAGAGAGUGGACGUUACUCGCAGAAUAAGCACCGGCUAACUCUGUGCCAGCCGCCGCAGUAAGAC